rnacentral:sRNA from 1 species
CCCCGGCUCGGGUAACGUUUCUCUCCAGCCUUAGGCAGAGCCCAGAAGACCUGCCUUUACCAGAGUUCCAGAGAGAGAGAGAGGGAGGACAAGGGAUCCCGGGGCGUCCUUUGGCAGUCGAUUGCACCCUGCACUAGAGAGAAGUCCAGGAAUGAUAUAUUCUUGGGCUGUAUUUCUCUACCCUGGAAUUCAUCCAGUUCAUCCCAGAAACACUGACCUGGUUACUGUGACAAAGUCUGAUGGAUAGACCCUUUCUGUUGACCUUGUGGCGUUUUUCUUUCAUGUGGAAGUUGGAAGACAAGGUGAAAGGGGCCAAAAGUUACCUGCUUUGGUGAAUAGGAGUGCUCUACUUGGUUCUCAGAACAUGGGCCCUCGUUUAAAGGUAAGGUAACAGACUGAGUUAAGCU